GUGAGUCAUCGAAUCUUUGAACGCACCUUGCGCUCCUUGGUAUUCCGAGGAGCAUGCCUGUUUGAGUGUCAUUUACUUCUCAUCCAUACUAGCUUUUGCAGUUGGUUGUGGCAUGGAUUGUGGGGGGUUAUGCGGGCCCUUUUACUGGGGUCGGCUCCUCUGAAAAGCAUUAGUAAAACCGUUUGCGGUCAGUCAUCGGUGUGAUAAUUAUCUACGCCCAAGACAAAAGGCUGCUCUCUGUCUGUUUUGCUUCCAAUUGUCCUUUCGGACAACUUUUGAAUGCUUGACCUCAAAUCAGGUAGGACUACCCGCUGAACUUAAGCAUAUCAAUAAGCGGAGGA
rnacentral:misc_RNA from 1 species